AGGAGCUCGGCCCAGCGCUCCUGAAUCGGUCUUUGCGGAAAAGUUGUGUCUCACGUGGAAAGAGGGCUCAUGGCAUUUUCUUGUUCAGAGAGGUGGUAGGACUCGGAGGAAUGCUCAGGAGUCACAUGAAGAAAAAGCAGGACACUGGAGUUUGAUGGCUGGAGUCUGGGCAGCAGCUGUUUGUCUAUGUGAAGGCAGGACAGACAUCCACACGACACCAGGAGCUGUGUGGGUCGGCCUCAAGAGGUGGAGGACCCUGGUAGCCUGCAGCAGAAGCCUGUGCUGCAUCCUGGUGGAGCGGAGUGUAGCGCCCACCUGCUGAAUCCUCCUUCCAUGCAGAGCUUAGGCUGAAACCAGAAGGGUGAAGAUCCCGACUCUCAAGAGUGAGGGACAACUGUCCUCAUAAGCAGGAGAGCCAGUGUCCGCAGUGGUGGGAAGACAAGGAAAGCUUAUUUCUACCCCACAAGCUUGGACUUUGAGGGAUGCGGAAGAUGGCACCCUGGGGAGUGAGUUACGGAUGGUUGGAGCCCUGCAUGGGAGUACUCUCAGGGAGAGAGGAGAAUGGCAGGAGUCGCACCAAGCUGUUUCACCCCUGGAUUGCGAGUUCAGGGGCCGAGAAAAGAGGAGGGACUUCUAUUGCUGGAGAUUCUCAAUGGCACAUGGAGUCUGACUGUACAGCGAGCUGUUUGGCUUCUUCCACUCAGCACAUUAUUCUAAGGCUGCUCUGCUGUGGCACCGGUUCUCUGCUCUCUGAAAAGAAUUCAGUGGCACACACGCACAUUCUGCUCAUCCACUCCC
ensembl:antisense Gm12446 predicted gene 12446